ACGCAAUAGAUACCCCGGUAGUCCACGCCCUAAACGAUGUCUACUAGUUGUUGGGAGAGUAAAAUCUCUUAAGUAAACGCAGCUAAACGCGUGAAGUAGACCGCCUGGGGAGUACGGUCGCAAGAUUAAAACUCAAAGGAAUUGACGGGGCCCGCACAAGCGGUGGAUUAUGUGGAUUAAUUCGAUGCAACGCGAAAAACCUUAACCUGGCCUUGACAUGCUACUAACGAAGCAGAGAUGCAUUAGGUGCCCGAAACGGGAAAGGUAGACACAGGUGCUGCAUGGCUGUCGUCAGCUCGUGUCGUGAGAUGUUGGGUUAAGUCCCGCAACGAGCGCAACCCUUGCCAAUAAUUGCCAUCAUUUA
rnacentral:rRNA from 1 species